GACGAACGCUGGCGGCGUGCUUAACACAUGCAAGUCGAACGGAAAGGCCCUGCUUUUGUGGGGUGCUCGAGUGGCGAACGGGUGAGUAACACGUGAGUAACCUGCCCUUGACUUUGGGAUAACUUCAGGAAACUGGGGCUAAUACCGGAUAGGAGCUCCUGCUGCAUGGUGGGGGUUGGAAAGUUUCGGCGGUUGGGGAUGGACUCGCGGCUUAUCAGCUUGUUGGUGGGGUAGUGGCUUACCAAGGCUUUGACGGGUAGCCGGCCUGGGAGGGUGACCGGGCACAUUGGGACUGAGGUACGGCCCAGAGUCCUACGGGGGGCAGCAGGGGGGAAUAUUGCACAAUGGGGCGAAGCCUGAUGCAGCAACGCCGCGUGCGGGAUGACGGCCUUCGGGUUGUAAACCGCUUUCGCCUGUGACGAAGCGUGAGUGACGGUAAUGGGUAAAGAAGCACCGGCUAACUACGUG
rnacentral:rRNA from 1 species